rnacentral:rRNA from 1 species
GACGAACCGAGCGAACGUUAUUCGGAAUCACUGGGCUUAAAGGGCGCGUAGGCGGGCCAUCAAGUCAGGGGUGAAAGCCCCCAGCUCAACUGGGGAAGUGCCUUUGAUACUGGUGGUCUCGAGGGGGAUAGGGGCAUGCGGAACUUCCGGUGGAGCGGUGAAAUGCGUAGAUAUCGGAAGGAACACCGGUGGCGAAAGCGGCGUACUGGGUCUUAUCUGACGCUGAGGCACGAAAGCUAGGGGAGCGAACGGG